rnacentral:rRNA from 1 species
AACGUAGGGGGCGAGCGUUGCCCGGAUUCACUGGGCGUAAAGCGGGUGCAGGCGGUCCGUUAAGUCGGGUGUGAAAUCUCCAGGCUCAACCUGGAAAGUGCACCCGAUACUGGCGGACUUGAGGACGGUAGAGGUCGGUGGAAUGAGCAGUGUACCGGUGAAAUGGACAGAUAUUGCUCAGAACACCAGUGGCGAAGGCGGCCGACUGGGCCGUUCCUGACGCUCAUACCCGAAAGCCAGGGGAGCGAACCGG